UACGUAGGGGGCAAGCGUUGUCCGGAUUUAUUGGGCGUAAAGAGCGUGUAGGCGGCCAUACAGGUCAGCUGUGAAAACUCGAGGCUCAACCUCGAGACGUCGGUUGAAACCGUUUGGCUAGAGUCCGGAAGAGGAGAGUGGAAUUCCCGGUGUAGCGGUGAAAUGCGCAGAUAUCGGGAAGAACACCCGUGGCGAAGGCGGCUCUCUGGGACGGUACUGACGCUGAGAAGCGAAAAGCAUGGGGAGCGAACAGG
rnacentral:rRNA from 1 species